rnacentral:misc_RNA from 1 species
GAUGAAGAACGUAGCGAAAUGCGAUAAGUAAUGUGAAUUGCAGAAUUCAGUUAAUCAUCGAAUCUUUGAACGCACAUUGCGCCCGCCAGUAUUCUGGCGGGCAUGCCUGUUCGAGCGUCAUUUCAACCCUCAAGCCCCCGGGCUUGGUGUUGGGGAUCGGCGUGCCCUCGCGGCGCGCCGUCCCCUAAAUCUAGUGGCGGUCUCGCUGUAGCUUCCUCUGCGUAGUAGCAACACUCGCACUGGAUCGCAGCGCGGCCACGCCGUUAAACCCCCCACUUCUGAAAGUUUGACCUCGGAUCAGGUAGGAAUACCCGCUGAACUUAAGCAUAUCAAUAAGCGGAGGA